AUACCAAGGAUAUUCAUCCUUUUUUGAGAAACAAAAAACGCCUAUUUAAAGGCCUUGCUUAGCUGCCUUUCUUGCAACAGCACUCAGCAGCUCUCACACUUUCGAAGAACAAGAAAGAAGAACAAGAAGAAGAAAAAGAGAUGGAGCGAUCCAUGCGUGUGUUUUCCACAGUUUUCGUCGUGCUGCUGCUUCUUGUGGCCACAGGUAGCUGUUAGUGGCGAAACAAACACCAACGAGAGGUCAAGAAAGAAAAAGGCUGAAAAAGUAGGAUUGGAAAUUGGGGAGCAAGAAGAGUGGCAAUCAAGAAUGUUGCGAUCAGUAUUGCAGGAAGAAAUCAUGAACAAACUGAAAGAAAAAGACGAGGUGAUUCAGAUGAUGGGAAACCUGAAUUUGGACCUUCAAGAAAGAGUGGAAAGCCUAUCUAUACAUAAUCAGCUUUGGAAAGAGUUGGCACAAACUAAUGAGGCCACCGCGAAUACUCUACGCAGCAAUCUAGAAAGCCUAUCUAUAGAGGACAAUUGGGCUAUAUAAGAGGACUAGCAUUGGGGGUGUAAGAACAUUCAUAAUAGUAGAGUUAUUUUUUUAGUCAUUUGACACCAUAAAAUGCUACUUUAUCUAUUUUACUUA